rnacentral:rRNA from 1 species
CUACGGGUUGCUCCAGUGAGGAAUAUUGGUCAAUGGACGCAAGUCUGAACCAGCCAUGCCGCGUGCAGGAAUGACGGCCCUAUGGGUUGUAAACUGCUUUUGUAAGGGGAGAAACCCUCGGUUGCGAUCGAGGCUGACGGUACCUUACGAAUAAGCAUCGGCUAACUCCGUGCCAGCAGCCGCGGUAAUACGGAGGAUGCAAGCGUUAUCCGGAUUUAUUGGGUUUAAAGGGUGCGCAGGCGGCUAAAUAAGUCAGUGGUGAAAUCGGAUGGCUCAACUAUCCAACUGCCAUUGAUACGGUAUAGCUAGAGUACAGAUGGGGUAGGCGGAAUGUAGCAUGUAGCGGUGAAAUGCAUAGAUAUGCUACAGAACACCAAUCGCGAAGGCAGCUUACCAAGCUGUUACUGACGCUCAGGCACGAAAGCGUGGGUAGCGAACAGGAUUAGAUACCCCUGUAGUC